GUGCUCGCUUCAGCAGCACAUAUACUAAUAUUGGAAUGAUACAGAGAAGAUUAGCAUGGCCCCUGUGCAAGGAUAACAUGCAAAUCUGUGAAGUGUUCCAUAUAUUU
rnacentral:snRNA from 1 species